UAAUAGCUCACUGGUCGAGUCGGCCUGCGCGGAAGAUGUAACGGGGCUAAACCAUGCACCGAAGCUGCGGCAGCGACACUAUGUGUUGUUGGGUAGGGGAGCGUUCUGUAAGCCUGUGAAGGUGUGCUGUGAGGUAUGCUGGAGGUAUCAGAAGUGCGAAUGCUGACAUAAGUAACGAUAAAGCGGGUGAAAAGCCCGCUCGCCGGAAGACC
rnacentral:rRNA from 1 species